rnacentral:rRNA from 1 species
AUUGAACGCUGGCGGCAUGCUUUACACAUGCAAGUCGAGCGGCCGUAGCAAUACGGCAGCGGCAGACGGGAGAGUAGCACGUGGGAACGUACCCUUCAGUACGGAACAACCAAGGGAAACUUUGGCUAAUACCGUAUACGUCCGUAAGGAGAAAGAUUUAUCGCUGAAGGAUCGGCCCGCGUCUGAUUAGCUAGUUGGUGAGGUAACGGCUCACCAAGGCGACGAUCAGUAGCUGGUCUGAGAGGAUGAUCAGCCUCACUGGGACUGGGACACGGCCCAGACUCCUACGGGAGGCAGCAGUGGGGAAUAUUGGACAAUGGGCGCAAGCCUGAUCCAGCCAUGCCGCGUGGAUGAUGAAGGCCCUAGGGUUGUAAAGUCCUUUUAACGGGGAAGAUAAUGACGGUACCCGUAGAAUAAGCCCCGGCUAACUUCGUGCCAGCAGCCGCCGUAACAC